rnacentral:lncRNA from 1 species
UAAAUUGGCAUAACUGAGAUGCAAUCAUCUACCACCUCCAGGUCAUUCUUUAUCCUUAUGCAUCGUUGAACCUAAAUGCAAAACUUAACAUUUAUCACUAUUAAGUUCCACCCAUUUGUUUCAGUUUAUAGUUAGGAUGAAGCCUUUCUAAAAAUGUAAUAACAUUGUCCAAUAUGUUAUUAGUUCUCCUUCCUAACUUUGUUUCAGUUAUCUCAUAAGCUUGCUUUAACAUUUUUAUUAUGGCAAAAUAUAUAUGACAUAAAAUUUACCCUUUUGACAACUUUUAAGUGUACAAUUCAGUGGCAUUAAGUACAUUCAUUUUGUUAUACAACCAUCACCACUAAUUAUAGCAAACUUUAGAGACUUGCUGAAUCCAUUUUAUGGUUAGUAUUAACUUCAACUAAAUAGCAACAACAACUUUUGCUCCACAUUAUCCUUUACUCUCUCCCUCUCAAAUGGCUCUUUCUAUUGGCUCUUUUUUUUUUAAUUAUACUUUAAGUUUUAGGGUACAUGUGCACAACGUGCAGGUUUGUUACAUAUGUAUACAUGUGCCAUGUUGGUGUGCUGCACCCAUUAACUCAUCAUUUAACAUUAGGUAUAUCAUUAGGAAGGAGGCUAACCCCUGUUCUCUAAACUAAGCUCUGUGUCAUCCACUCUCAGCAAAAAAGUAUCCAUACUCAAAGGCUGGGGGUGGCCCCACCUUGCUACCAAAGCUCAGAAAACCGAUCUGACAGUUGAGUCACAACUCUGCUACACAUUUCUUUAAUCUAAGACUUUUCUUUUCCUGUCAUAAUCCUAUCUUUCCUUGUACAUCCUAUACUAAAUGCCUUCCAGGAAUCUUUCUC